rnacentral:rRNA from 1 species
AGAGCGAACGCUGGCGGCAGGCCUAACACAUGCAGGUCGAGCGCCCGUAGCAAUACGGGAGCGGCAGACGGGAUAGUAACACGUGGGAACGCGCCCUUCGGUUCGGAAUAACUCAGGGAAACUUGAGCUAAUACCGGAUACGCCCUUACGGGGAAAGAUUUAUUGCCGAAGGAACGGCCCGCGUCCGAUUAGCUAGUUGGUGAGGUAAUGGCUCACCAAGGCGACGAUCGGUAGCUGGUCUGAGAGGAUGACCAGCAUCACUGGGACUGAGACACGGCCCAGACCCCUACGGGAGGCAGCAGUGGGGAAUAUUGGACAAUGGGCGCAAGCCUGAUCCAGCCAUGCCGCGUGGAUGAUGAAGGCCUUAGGGUUGUAAAGUCCUUUAACGGGGAAGAUAAUGACGGUACCGUAGAAUAAGCCCCGGCUAACUUCGUGCCAGCAGCCGC